UACGUAGGAUGCGAGCGUUGUUCGGAAUUACUGGGCGUAAAGAGUACGUAGGCGGUAAGAUAAGUCUGUUAUAAAAAUCAGGAGCUUAACUUCUGAGUUGUAAUGGAAACUAUGUUACUAGAGGGCAAUAGAGGAAGUCGGAAUUCUCAGUGUAGCGGUGAAAUGCGUAGAUAUUGGGAAGAACACCAGUGGCGAAAGCGGACUUCUGGGUUGUUACUGACGCUGAGGUACGAAAGCGUGGGGAGCAAACGGG
rnacentral:rRNA from 1 species